AUUCCAACCAAGUCUUGAUUUCCAAGCGAAAACAUCUGAAGGCACAGGGCAAAGAGAAUUUAAAAUCUAAAGCUGAGCCACUGACCAAAGAGAAUUCCAGGCGUUAAGAGACAGACAGCUUCUUGGCAAAGGUGAUGCACAGACAUUACUUUAGACAGUAUGAUUGAAUAAUGGUAUUUAUUUUGGGAUGUGUGGCAGACAGGACCAUAAAAACCUUCUUCGGGGAGAUAUAGAGCUGAAAAGGUCACCAGAAAACCGAGAGUACUUUGAGUUUACAGAGAAAAGUACAAAAACUAGGAAUGGAUCCAGCAGAGAAUUCUAACAGAGAAGUGGCACCCAAGCUGUCUGCAACUACCUGGAGACGAACCAUGUCCAGUAGCCAUCUACAAGGAAUAUAAACGUCAAAGACCGACCGAUAUGCUUGAUGACAUGUAGCAGAUUUUACCUAAACCCAAUUAAUACGCUCAUCAGAAGGUUGGAAAAAAAACUUGGACAAAUAAUGAAACAAUUGGCUGAAAAGGGAAACUUUGAAGGCCGAAAAGUAAAUCACUCCACAAGAAAAACAUCUGCCCUAACCCUUAUUCAGGCAGGUCGGCCACCAACAGAAAUUGCGCAUGUAGGAGGUUGGUAAAGCCUGCAAACAAUAAACGCUUAUUCAACCCAUACUUUAGCUGUUGUUCCACAUUCAAGAAGCAAGGUUCAAUCCAUUGAACAUGAGCAGACAUCUGUGUUGGCAGAUAUAACUCCAGUCAUGAACACAAGUAAUACGUGUAAUACGCUUGAUGCAAGCCGAAGUGUGUCAUCCAAGAUCUCAAAACAACACUCAAAUCCUUUGCAGUGUUGUGUGGUGCCAAUAUAUCUGUGGGUACUUUUAAGGUUAACAUUGUGUCAGCGCAAAGGAAAUUUUCAGAUAUUGAGAGCUCACAGGUCACAAGAAUCACAAUAGACAUUCUGUUAAAAUGGUUUAAAUAUGUUGUGUAUUUUUAGAGUUGUUCUUUGGUACAAUUAAUAAACUGAGUGU
rnacentral:lncRNA from 1 species